UUGAAACAUCUUAUUACCCGGAGGAAAAGAGAAAGAAAUUGAUUCUGUGAGUAGCGGUGAGCGAAAGCGGAACAGCCCCAAACCCCUGUCUAUGUUACAGCAUUGACGCGCUGUAGCAGGGGUGUUGUAGGACUUACGUGUGCAGGUCAAUAUGCACGAAGAAGUUACAAAUAGUUGAGAUAGUCGAAUGGUUUUGGGAAAGCCAGCCAAAGAGGGUGAAAGCCCCGUAGACGAAAUUUCAAUUACUUCUGUAAGUAUCCUGAGUACCACGAAACACGUGUAAUUUUGUGGGAAUCUGGGGAGACCACUCCCCAAGGCUAAAUACUACUUAGUGACCGAUAGUGAACAAGUACCGUGAGGGAAAGGUGAAAAGUACCGCGGGAGCGGAGUGAAAUAGUACCUGAAACCGGG
rnacentral:rRNA from 1 species